rnacentral:lncRNA from 1 species
UUUUUUCGCCACAAAUUAAAACAAAAGUACCCUACUGGUUCUUUUCUCAAAUUAAAAAUUAUGAGACUUUAAGUAGGCAUUAGGGAGUAGACAGAAGAGAGUAAUGCUGGCAAGUAGACUGUAUUUAAAUGCUGAUGAUGAAUGAUAUCGCCUGCCUUUUCCAUUCUUAUACUAAGAACAGUGUUGUGGCCUAGUCCAGUUUUACCUAAGGAUUCAUUUUAAUAAGUAUUUUUGAUUGCCUACUGUGUGCAAGGAACUGAAUGAACUAUGAAAUUGAAACAUUUAUUUUUCCUCAGGGAGUUUACAGUAGGAGAGGAAGGCAUGGAUAUAAUUUAUCAUAAUCUAGUACAGAAGGCAGAAUUUGUAUCAAAAAUGCAAAAACCAAUGGUAGGACAUAUUCAAGAAUCAAUCAGAAUGAUCACUGCCCCACUCGCCUGCAAUCAACAAGGGUCCCACCUGCAGAAAUGCGUGCCAGUUGAACGUUUGUGCUGGCAGAAGGUGAGAAAGUUCUUAGGAGAAGGACAGACUGUGAGUUUAGAAAAUUCCCUUCUGGUUGAGGGGAUCAGGGUGAAAUAUUUGGGGCUUUGAAGAAUGCGUGGUAUUUGAUUAAAAAUUAGAUGUAGGAAACCUGCUUGAAAUUAAAAAAGGCAUGAAUUCAGAUGCAUUCAGGGAAUAUGUUCCAGGGCCAAUUACAUGUUUCAGCUUCGGUUUUCUGAACUGGGGGACACUGCAUAUGAGCUGUAGGGUAGCGGGCUGGGUCAGGAAUUAGGAGAAAUCCUAGGAGGCUGAAGACCAAGCCUGCCACCGAGGAGGAAGGGGGAGGACUUGUUGGACUAACAGAGGGCACAGAACACCCUCCUCCUGGUCAUGUCCCUUGGGAUAUCAGAAGGAAGGGAAAACCUGGAAGGAAGAUUAAACUAUACUGUUUCUGACCCUAGAGGGAAAGGACCCCAAAAUCACUGUACUGAAAAACAGUCAGAUAUGACACUAUUAUGGCAAUAAAGAAAAUCACAUUUUCUGCAUGCUCAAGUUUGUGAUGUUGAAAUUCAUACCUAUGAUGCAUUUAAAGCAUUUAGCUCUUACUAAAAGGUGGUGAUUAUUUGUAGCUGCAAACCUGUAAGAUCUUCAAGAUGUCUAAAUUACUAUCUCCCAUUUGCCAAACUCCUUUUUCUUUACCUCUUUCCACUGGAGAUAGAAAACAGAUCCUAUUCCAUCCUCUGUAUCUUUAAUGAUUUUUCUAAUUUAGGGCAAGUCUCUUCCUCUUCCAGCUGCCUGUUUGUCAAUCCAUUUCAGCUUCUCUACAUCAGGUGAUCAUCAAACUUAACUGUAGAUGUAAAAGCUGAAAGUAUGUCAAGGCAAUGUUGAAAAAAAACAAUGAGGAUGGCAUUUCAGAGGAGAUACACCAUACUCACACAAGUACAGUGAUUCCAGCCCCAUUUACUAAAAAAGAAAAACAAGUUUCAGGAGGCCACCGUGGACUGUCAUUUGGCGUUUUAACCUCAGAGUCAGUCCUGAGCCGUCAUCUACUUAUGAGGUUCCCAUAUGAUGUUUUAUUACCUCUAUGGAUGCAAGACUUUCUUUUUGCCUUCCAGUCACAAGUACUUCUUUGGAAGACUGAUCUAGAUGUUUGCUUACCAUUUGAUGGGUCAUUGUGUAUUCUAAGCCUCUGAGUCCUUGGUUAAUUGGUAGUUGUUUUCUCCUUUGGCAGCAGAAGUCUUGCAAUUUGGGAAAGUUGUGUGCAAAUACAACUCAAACAUUCCCUUCACAUGCAGCAACGAUUUUAUUUUUAGUGUCUUGGGACAUCGGGAAGGAAUCCAACCACUCUCACAUGAUUUCUGCCUGGUAAUUUCUAAGGAAGAGUGAAGAGAGAUAUUCUUCCUUCUGUCUGGAGACGGGAAACAUGUGUCUGAUCUGUUGGCACCUUGACAUGAGAUCAUUUCCAGAAACUUUGAGGAAGUGGCCCAGAUUUGCAGGCAUUGGUAUUGAUGGAGCAAACCAUGGGAAUAUGUUCUUUUUCACGUUCAUAUAAUCUGAGGAACCUGGAGAAUACACAGACGUGGCCUCGGAAGGACUCGAUGCCAGGGAAAGAAUCUGCAGGACUGAGUUUAUCCCUUUGCGAGCACCUCCAUGAUCCAACUGCAGUUUUGAGUCUCGUGGUUCUAUCUCUAAACUUCAAGCUUGGUGACCACUGCUAUUUAUCAUUGUUAAGUAAGAAAAGACAACAUUCUGUUUGUGUUUUGGAUCUGUCACACUUUGUGGCUCAUUUUUCUGAGGAUUAAAGGGUUUGUUCCUGCAAAUGAAAAUAUACUCUGAUACCUGCUAAUCGGAGAUUCUGCAGGUGGUGACACUGCUGAACGUAAUAUCACCUGUUGUUGGGGAUAGUUUGUUUCAAAGGAAAAAAAAAAAAAAACCUAGGGUAGAAAUAAGAGAAAACAGAAGGUGGACCAGUAUUUAAUAGGUUAUGGUCAUCACCUUUAUAACUUUUAUUUCUUUCUUUAAAUUCCCCUCAUAAUUUCCAGAGCGAGCUGCUUCUUAAUUUUAUUAAAAACAUCACAAACCCACACCUGGUUCUGGAGCCAUGCCCUGAUACCAAGCAGUGUGAGUCCAUCCUGAGGCUUCAUAUAUGAGCUAGAAUAAAUAUCUUCUAAAAAAGGUACGUGACAAUGCUUUGAAAAAACAAAUUUUGUUGCCUUUUCAAUUUUCUUUUUUAUUGUUGUUAUUGCAUUUUCAAUUUUCUUUAAUUCAUUGAAGGUGUAAAGUUCACUUUCAAUUUGGCCAUUUCCUUUUCAUUAAAUCCUCCAUGUCCAUGUCACAUAUGCACCUCAACGAUUUCUGGAUAAUUUCCAAAAUAAGGCUGAAAAUAUGUCUAAAAUUUCUAUUCUUAAAGGCUGCCUAGAGGAAUUCACACAUACAUUUUAACAAAUAAAAAGAAUGAUUAUGAAUUAUUUAAACUACCAAUUUCAGCAAUAUUUAAGAGUUUUAAAUAACAUGUUAUUUAUUUUGUUUUAUAAAAGCAGCAAACUAUCACUUAAGGAAUUUGGAAAAAAGAAUCAAGAAAUUAUUUUGCAUGUCAUAUUGCAUUCAGAAAUAAAUUUUUUAAAUAAGAUUUUUAAAGAUUUUUUUUCAAUUUUGGUAUAUAUUUAUUUAUUUACUUUUUGUCUUUUUAUCUUUUUAGGGCUGCAAUCACAGCAUAUGGAGGUUCCCAGGCUAGGGGAGUCCAAUUGGAGCUACAGCUGCCAGCCUACGCCAGAGCCAUAGUAACACCAGAUCCAAGCCGCAUCUAUGUGGCUUGGAUCCCGAGUUGCUGUGGCUCUGGCGUAGGCAGGUGGCUGCAGCUCCGAUUAGACCCCUAGCCUGGGAACCUCCAUAUGCUGCCGGAGUGGCCCAAGAAAUGGCAAAAAGACAGGAAAAACAAACAAACAAACAAACAAACAAACAAAAAACUUUUUCAUGACAAUGGCAUUCCAUCAGAAAAAAGUGCCUAAUUCUUCUAAUAUUUUUCUUCUUGCUCUUUUAGCUAUUUUUCAUUUUUUGCUAUUAUAUCACAUUAUGAUGAAUUUUUUAUGCACAUAUAUUUUUGCCUAUAUUUAAUUAUUUCUUUAAAUUAGCAUUAGAAAGCUCCUGAGGAUUAAGUUAUUGAGUUAAAAAUAUUAGAAAAUAUAUUAAAACAAUGUAUAUUGUAAAAUUACUCUUGAUAAUUUUCUCUGCCAAUAUAGUUUCUCCAAAAAUGACCAAAAGUACUUAAAAAAAAAAA